rnacentral:rRNA from 1 species
UUCCUACGGGGGGCAGCAGUGAGGAAUAUUGGUCAAUGGCCGGAAGGCUGAACCAGCCAAGCCGCGUGAAGGACGAAGGUGCCAAGCAUUGUAAACUUCUUUUGUCAAGGGACAAAAUCAGGCUCGAGAGCCUGACCGAGGGUACUUGAAGAAAAAGCAUCGGCUAACUCCGUGCCAGCAGCCGCGGUAAUACGGAGGAUGCGAGCGUUAUCCGGAUUUAUUGGGUUUAGAGGGUGCGUAGGCGGAGUGUCAAGUCAGCGGUAAAAUUUCGGGGCUCAACCCCGCCGGGCCGUUGAAACUGACGC